UCUUUCUUUGCUGGCGACCGGCGCACGGGUGAGUAACACGUAUCCAACCUGCCUUUACUCGGGGAUAGCCUUUCGAAAGAAAGAUUAAUACCCGAUAGUAUAAUGAUUCCGCAUGGUUUCAUUAUUAAAGGAUUCCGGUAAAGGAUGGGGAUGCGUUCCAUUAGGUUGUUGGUGAGGUAACGGCUCACCAAGCCUUCGAUGGAUAGGGGUUCUGAGAGGAAGGUCCCCCACAUUGGAACUGAGACACGGUCCAA
rnacentral:rRNA from 1 species